AUUGAACGCUGGCGGCAGGCCUAACACAUGCAAGUCGAGCGGCAGCGGGAGGAAGCUUGCUUCCUCGCCGGCGAGCGGCGGACGGGUGAGUAAUGUCUGGGGAUCUGCCCGAUGGAGGGGGAUAACCACUGGAAACGGUGGCUAAUACCGCAUAACGUCGCAAGACCAAAGUGGGGGACCUUCGGGCCUCACACCAUCGGAUGAACCCAGAUGGGAUUAGCUAGUAGGUGGGGUAAUGGCUCACCUAGGCGACGAUCCCUAGCUGGUCUGAGAGGAUGACCAGCCACACUGGAACUGAGACACGGUCCAGACUCCUACGGGAGGCAGCAGUGGGGAAUAUUGCACAAUGGGCGCAAGCCUGAUGCAGCCAUGCCGCGUGUGUGAAGAAGGCCUUCGGGUUGUAAAGCACUUUCAGCGAGGAGGAAGGUGGUGAACUUAAUACGUUCAUCAAUUGACGCUACUCGCAGAAGAAGCACCGGCUAACUCC
rnacentral:rRNA from 1 species